rnacentral:lncRNA from 1 species
CUGGGAGCGAAAAGAAAUAUGUUAAAGAACUUUGAAAUAAUAAGCUACAAAACAAAUAAUAGGCUAAUAAAUAGUUUGACUGUUAUAAAUAGAAAAUAUCCUUGGUUCAAAUCGAAAAUAUUGGCACUCUUGGAUCCCGACUAACCCAAGGGUGGGCCAUCGACCCAUGCAUCGACUUCCAACUUUAUUGUCAAUGUGCUCACAUAUAUCAACCAUCGAUCCAUGCUUCAAUUGCUGAUCCUUACAUCGGUGGCUGACCCUUAUCUCUAUGCCUAUGAAGUUUCUGAUCUACACAUCAAUCG